UGUAUGUAGAACUUCCUAGGUCAAAGGUCAAUGUCAAAAACUUUGGUUUCAGUUGACAACCCAAUGUCCUAUGGUAAAGAUCGUGUCCGCUCUAUAUCUUGAGAACCAGUAUGAUUUGAAAGUUUAUACUUGACAUGUAUAUUAACCAACACCAGAUGGUGUGUCAUAAUGUAUGUACAACUUCCUAGAUCAAAGGUCAAGGUCAAAAACUUUGGUUUCAGUUGGCAACCCCAUGUCCUAUGGUAAAGAUCGUGUCCGCUCUAUAUCUUGUGAACCGUUAUCAUUUCAAAGUUUAUACUUGACAUGUAUAUUAACCAACACCAGAGGGUGUGUCAUAAUGUAUGUACAACUUCCUAGGUCAAAAGUCAAGGUCAAAAACUUUGGUUUCAGUUGACAACCCCAUGUCCUAUGGUAAAGAUCGUGUCCGCUCUAUAUCUUGUGAA